GGGGCCCCAGCUGUGCCGCCCCUUCCCCCAACGGGCGCCUCGUGGGGCACUAGGGGCCGGCCGGCCUCGGGGCUGUUUGGCAGCCCAGCCGGAAGGAGCCGUCACAAAGGAAACGCUGACAGCUCCUCCUCAGACCCUGUCAUUACUCGCGCAGAGCCACGUGCUGUGGCUGCGAGGCCCGCCGGCAGCGAGCCUAGCCUGGGCGCUGGCGCUCCCAACUCGGCAGGUAACAGCAGUCACCCUCCCAGCCCUCCACGGCAGGGCCUAGGGGUCCGCGAGGGCGCUGGGUGCGGGCGGGGAGGAAGCCUGCUCAGGGCCUUGCCUCCUCUCCUGGGCAGCGCCUUCCUGUCAUCCUCAAAGCCACCUCUUCCUUCCUCUGCAGCUCACCUUGCACUUGAAACCACGCCUGGAGCUGAGCCCACCCUAGGGAGCGCCCCUGCCCUGAGGAACAUCCUACAGGAGGGAGGCAGGGGUGUGGCCUGGCUCAUUCCCAGAGGCCAGGCCCCAAUGCUCCCAGGCACAGGCCUGGACGUCCUGGAGACCCCAGAGACGGGCCAGUGCAGGGUCUGAGCUGGGAGGAUGAUGAGCACAGCCCAGAUGGAAGCCCCGGAGCCGCCAGGCCAGCCUGUCCUGUAUGACAGCCAACCCAGGGACCCUCCACAGCUCAGUCUGAAUGAGGCCUUUGACCCACAUCCCCCAGAACGGUUUGGCAGAAUGGGACCGGGACCAAGCUGGGCAAGGCCAAGUCCUGGUGUGGGGACCAAGACCCUUCCCUGCCGGGCCGUGUGCAGAGAACGAUGGCCACCAGCACAUGGCACCAAAGAGCUGGCCUGGAGGGGAGACUCUGGACUCACCCCACUUGAGCAGAAGGGGACGCUGCUGCUGAGAUGGGCAUAAUCGCGGGGGCUGCCUCCCACUCCCCCAGCCUUCCCCAGUCACCACUAAUACAGUCUGUUCCUGCUUCAACCCUCGCUCGCCUCCCUGCUCACUGCCCCAAGACGAAGAGAGAACUCAAAACGAGCCUCAGCUGCCAGGCCCUGGGCCCAGCGGGUGUGCCACCGCUCCCUAGGGCCCCUACCUCCCGAGGAGUCAGGGGACCAGUCCUUCCCAGGCCCCUCCAGACCUCGAGGAAUCGUGCUGUGUUAGUGCCACACGGGGGACAGGUGAUGCCAGUGACUUCGUUCGGUGCCUCCUGUCUGGCUGGGCCCAACCAAUGGUGUCCGAUGCGGGCAGGUCUGUCCGCUGUCUCUGAGGCUGCCCUGAAUGCUCACGGAGUCAUCCUCUGCGUCCUCCACCAGUGCUGCCCGCCGGGUCCAUCACGCCUCCGUCUCCAGCCGGCCAUCCAGCCCACCCGGCACCCUGUGAGGGACUGGGCUGGGGGACCGCCCCUGUGAGCUCGGCUCUUCAGGGGGUGGUGUGGCCUGUGGCGGGCGGGGGGCGCGUUGGGCUGCGGG